rnacentral:misc_RNA from 1 species
UUUCCGUAGGUGAACCUGCGGAAGGAUCAUUAUUGUAUAACCGAGGUGCGAGGGCUGUCGCUGACCCGAAAGGUCGUGCACGCCCGAGUGCCCUCACACACAUCCAUCUCACCCCUAUGUGCACCACCGCGUGGGUCCCCCUUUGGCUUGUUCGGAGGGGGGCUUACGUUUUCACACAAUCUUUGUAUGCAGUGUAGAAUGUAUUUUUUGUUUUUGCGAUCACGCAAUCAAUACAACUUUCAACAACGGAUCUCUUGGCUCUC